ACUCAAAGGAAUAGACGGGGGCCCGCACAAGCGGUGGAGCAUGUGGUUUAAUUCGAUGCAACGCGAGGAACCUUACCUGGUCUUGACAUCCUCGGACAUCCCCAGAGAUGGGGCUUGGUAGAAAUACCCCGGGAGACAGGUGCUGCAUGGCUGUCGUCAGCUCGUAUCGUGAGAUGUCGGGUUAAGUCCCUUAACGAGCGCAACCCCUAUCCCUAGUUGCCAUCAUUUAGUUGGGCACUCUACGGAGACUGCCGGUGUUAAACCGGAGGAAGGUGGGGAUGACGUCAAGUCCUCAUGGCCUUUAUGACCAGGGCUACACACGUGCUACAAUGGCGGAUACAAAGGGUUGCCAACCCGCGAGGGGGAGCUAAUCUCAUAAAGUCCGUCUCAGUUCAGAUUGGAGUCUGCAACUCGACUCCAUGAAGCUGGAAUCGCUAGUAAUCGCAGAUCAGAACGCUGCGGUGAAUACGUUCCCGGGCCUUGCACACACCGCCCGU
rnacentral:rRNA from 1 species